UACGGGGGGGGCAAGCGUUGUUCGGAAUUACUGGGCGUAAAGGGCUCGUAGGCGGCCAACUAAGUCAGACGUGAAAUCCCUCGGCUUAACCGGGGAACUGCGUCUGAUACUGGAUGGCUUGAGGUUGGGAGAGGGAUGCGGAAUUCCAGGUGUAGCGGUGAAAUGCGUAGAUAUCUGGAGGAACACCGGUGGCGAAGGCGGGUCUCUGGGCCGAUACUGACGCUGAGGAGCGAAAGCGUGGGGAGCGAACAGG
rnacentral:rRNA from 1 species